rnacentral:rRNA from 1 species
AUACGGAGGGUGCAAGCGUUAAUCGGAAUUACUGGGCGUAAAGCGUACGUAGGCGGUUAUUUAAGUCAGAUGUGAAAGCCCCGGGCUUAACUUGGGAACUGCAUUUGAAACUGGGUAACUAGAGUUUAGUAGAGGGGAGUGGAAUUUCUGGUGUAGCGGUGAAAUGCGUAGAGAUCUGAAGGAACACCAGUGGCGAAGGCGACUCCCUGGACUAAAACUGACGCUGAGGUACGAAAGCGUGGGUAGCAAACAGGAUUAGAAACCCCAGUAGUCC